rnacentral:rRNA from 1 species
GCCAUGCAUGUGUAGGUAUAACCUGUAUACCGGUAAACUGCGAAUGGCUCGGUAAAUCAGUUAUAGUUUAUUUGAUAGUGCAUCCUACUCGGAUAACCGUAGUAACACUAGAGCUAAUACGUGCGUAAAUCCCGACUUUUGGAAGGGACGUAUUUAUUAGAUUUAUGGCCAGCCGGGCUUGCCCGACCAGCGGUGAAUCAUGGUAACUUGACGGAUUGCAUGGCCUCCGUGCCGGCGACGUGUCAUUCAAGUUUCUGCCCCAUCAGGUUUCGACUGUAGUGUAUUGGACUACAGUGCCUAUAACGGGUAGCGGAGGAUUAGGGUUCGAUUCCGGAGAGGGAGCCUGAGAAACGGCUACCACAUCCAAGGAAGGCAGCAGGCGCGCAAAUUACCCAAUCCCAACUCAGGGAGGUAGUGACAAGAAAUAGCAAUGCGGGGCUUCUUGCUCUGCAAUUGGAAUGAGAACAAUUUAAAUCACUUAACGAGUAUCAAUUGGAGGAAA